GGGUCAGUAGGUUGGUCGUGCCACCGGUACGUACUGGUCUCACUGAUUCCUCCUUCCUGAAGAACCGUAAUGCCAUUAAUUUGGUGUUGCGGGGAAACAGGACUGUUACUUUGAAAAAAUUAGAGUGUUUAAAGCAAGCUAACGCUUGAAUACAUUAGCAUGGAAUAAUGAAAUAGGACGAUCGAUCCUAUUUUGUUGGUUUCUAGGAUUGACGUAAUGAUUAAUAUGGAUAGUUAGG
rnacentral:rRNA from 1 species